UACGUAGGGUGCAAGCGUUGUCCGGAAUUAUUGGGCGUAAAGAGCUCGUAGGCGGUUUGUUGCGUCGGCUGUGAAAUCCCGAGGCUCAACCUCGGGUCUGCAGUCGAUACGAGCAAACUAGAGUGUUGCAGGGGAGACUGGAAUUCCUGGUGUAGCGGUGAAAUGCGCAGAUAUCAGGAGGAACACCGGUGGCGAAGGCGGGUCUCUGGGCCGAUACUGACGCUGAGGCGCGAAAGCUAGGGGAGCAAACAGG
rnacentral:rRNA from 1 species